GACAUUUGGUAGAGACUGUUGAAGCCACCUGGUCCCAGCAGACCCUGGAAGGCAGCCACAUUCGCUGGUGCUGGGGCAAAGUUGUUGACGAUGAAGCCUGGUGCCAGAUGUAU
rnacentral:rRNA from 1 species